AUACGUAGGGGGCGAGCGUUGUCCGGAAUGAUUGGGCGUAAAGGGCGCGUAGGCGGCCUGUUAAGUCUGGAGUGAAAGUCCUGUUUUCAAGAUGGGAAUUGCUUUGGAUACUGAUGGGCUUGAGUGCAGGAGAGGUUAUCGGAAUUCCCGGUGUAGCGGUGAAAUGCGUAGAGAUCGGGAGGAACACCAGUGGCGAAGGCGACUUACUGGACUGUAACUGACGCUGAGGCGCGAAAGUGUGGGGAGCAAACAGGAUUAGAUACCCUGGUAGUCCACACUGUAAACGAUGAAUGCUAGGUGUAGGGGGUAUCGACCCCUUCUGUGCCGCAGUCAACACAAUAAGCAUUCCGCCUGGGGAGUACGGCCGCAAGGUUGAAACUCAAAGGAAUUGACGGGG
rnacentral:rRNA from 1 species